UCAACAGGAUGGUGUCAGGAUGUGUGUCAUCCUGAACGAGCGCCAUAUUGAAGAACGAUAGCGACGCCAUCGCCACGCUUCUUCCUAGCGCGGCACUUUUCAAAUCUGCUAUAUGUGCUUUCAUUUCGCCGACUCGUCCACUAGUUUUAUUUAUUCAUUUUUCGCAAUUUUAUGCGUCCACGUUACCACAUAUAUCGUUUCUUUCGCACGAGGCAUGCUGCUCUUUUCUCUACCUUCGCGUAGCGAUCAAAGACUUUUUCGGCCUAAUAAACACAGCAUCAUUAAUUAUCCCGCGAAUAAGAACAAAGUACACUUAUAGACGAGCAAAUUCUCUUUAACGUUGAAAAACACGUCAACGAAUUUCUUUCAUUUUCUUGGCAAAAAGUUAGGAGAUUCUUGAAAAUUUCCCUUCACGGUUCCGCACAUCCGUGUUCUACACUUGUACGUCUCGAGUUCUUUGACGUAGAUACCGUAGAUUCUCUUUGAAGUCUUCUUAGCUUUUCUAUCUCCUCUACUUGCCUCAUCUUUGUACGUAUAUUUAGAGUAUGGUUGCAGAAGGCCACGAUGAAGCCUCUCGUGGUACGCCUUUUACGCACUUCCUUUGAAAUCGAUAAAAGAUGCCUUUGAUAUUGCUGAACCGUCGAUGAAAUUCAAUUUUCCUCCUGUCUAUCUUAUUAUUUGGAUACCGAUUAAAUUGCUAAUAAGAAAGAAAGAAGCAAAACGUAACUGCAUGAUACAAACGUUCCCAAUAAAUACUCAUAUUCCUCGGGGAGUAUGCAAAUCUAGGAUCAAAUGAUGGUCGGGCGGAAACUCCAUCGAAAUUCGAUCAGAAGAACCUUCGCGUAGAUCGCAACCCUGGCGUGCAAGGAUACUUUGUAGAUUUCAUGAAAAUACUUCAUAAAGGAUGAUAGAAUUUUCAUGGCACGGCCGACAAUAAAUCAUCCUAUCGUCGAAUUUAUCGUACUUUAGCUGCGUAUCAUACGAAUAACGAAUUCUGGCAUAUUAUCUCGACUCGUUUAACGGCGCGAUAUCUCUUUUAAAAACCUAUAUUAGCAGUAAUGCGCCUGUUAUUAUACCCAUGCGAGAGAGAGAGAGAGAGCCCGGGGAGAGAUAAAAGGGCAACGAGACUUCAUUUCGCACCUAGAUGAUAAUAAGCAUCGUACUAACGACACGCGAAUUAAUCGGAUCAACUUGGCAGAAUUUUCAUUGGAAAUGUAAUAUUUCUAAUUAAUUCCUUGGCAAGUUCAUUUCUCUAGAGCCUGAGGGAACGAUAACUGUUCGCUUUUGGCUCUCUCUAGGUUCCUCUCACGUCAGUGUCACUCUCUUGUGUGCUCUCGAUUUACAGAUUAAUUAACAAUUUUAGAUAAAGAUUAACGGUGCCCCAAUGUCGAAUGCUUGCAAAAUCAACAGAAUGAUUUAUACAAAACUCAUUAAUGAACCUCGAUGCAAAUUUAGCGGCACUAUUUUUAAAUAUGCAAUAUCACGGACGCAAGGAGCUUCAUUCGAUGCAUUUGAUAGAUUUUUAGGAAGAUCUAUUUUGUAGUCGGUUCCCGUGUUCGAAUUCUUAGUACUCGUGCCAAGUCGAAAAGUAGAGCUUUCGGCGAACGCGUACAUACUUAAAUAACUACGAACGACCAUAGUUAUGAGAGUUCUAUUUUAAAAACUCAGGAAAACUCUUAUCCGAUUAUGCGAAUUUUAGCGAAUGGUCAAUUGGCCGAACGUAGGGCGGUGUUUCUAAUAAAGUAAGCAUCGUUCUGCCCGAAACCCCGAGCGAAGGUGGUGGAAUAGAAAGGAAGGAUUGCGGGUGUACUUUACGGUUUACUCUGUAGAGAAAUAAUUCUCCUCUAUAUUCGUACGCACGAGCUUGUAACGUGGUAACGUAUACGCGCGCGGAAAUUCCACAAAGAGUACUCGCUCUACUGAGAAUAUCAAAGCUUAUGAAAAGGUAGAGUAGUUAGGCCGCGUUACCGUUGAUGCGGAUGAUGAUGUUGGAAUCUUCAUUGGUAUCCGACCGCUACAAGGAACUGUGCUAGCUCCUUAACCCUUUGAAUAGGGAGUUAUCGCAGUGUUACUAAACUAACUUACCAAACGUCAUAGAAUCAACAAAGAUCUCCAGGUUCAACAAGCAAAUGACCAAAUUGCAAAGCAUUCAAAUACCAAGACCAAGCUUAAAUUAACAACGGUGCUACGUAGUUUGACGCAAAAUUCAAAAUGUAUCAUUUGUACAGUUUAAACUGGUUUAUACGCUGCACUCCUAUUUCGAGAAAUUCUAAGAGAAGCCCAGAUUCUUUAGAGUUUGUUCGCACGACUUUCUUGGGUACACGCGAAAGUACAUAUUUAACGAGGAAAAGAUACGAGCGCAAGCUCCAGUUUUACAGAGAGAAUUUUCUCUCUCUCUCUCACUCUCUUUACCCCCCGACCCUCUUACUCUUCUUCUCUUGUAACAAAGAUGGAGCUACCCGGAACGAUCGUAAUUCUGUCUACUAUUGUUUUCGAGUAGGAUUUCGUUCGAUCCAUUGUUUUCCAUCGGCCUUUAUUAGAUUCGCGUUGAACGAAUGACGAACGUAACAAGAAUCGGAAACGAUAAUAAGAGAAUAAUCUAUGUCGGGAAACUGUUUAUACGACAAUUGUUGAUAGUUGUUCGAAAAAAGGUAUAACGAAAGGAGGGAACGGAGGAACGAAUUCAACCAUCAAUUCGGUGAUUUAGAAUUUUCUUAUUCGCCUCGAUAGGUGGGAUAUUAAAUAGGUUUCGUUCGUAAAUAAGAAACAUCGACGCGCGCGAUCCUAUCGGGGUAAGUCGAUGGAGAAUGCAAGUGGAUGGUUUCCUUUAACUGAGAUAAGGAAACACGAGAGGGUGAAGAGGAAAGGUAAAAGAGAAAGAUACCCAGGGAAGGAUUGGCCAAGGAUCGAUACGAUAAAUCGUCCUUAUACAGUAUACACGUAUACUCCAACGCACAAAUAUAGACACGCAUAGGUAUCUUAUAUUAGAAGGGAGACGCAUUAGGAAAUCCACACUAAUCCAAACUUAAAGGCGGCGACGGUUGGAAAGCAAGAAAUCGACCAGGUACCACGCUGCUGGUUCCUCGGAUAACUCAUAAAUAAACGAGCAUACCCGGUAUAAGCAGAAACGUUUAUGGCACUAGCAUACACAUCGUAUAGACCCUUUAUGUACCCAGCCUAGACACAAACUACUUUAAAGUUGCACAAGUCGAGAUCUAAGAGCGCGCAACGCCUCCACUACUUUUUGCCUCUUCACCCUCUAUCCCUCCGCCGGGUUUUGCUUCUUUAUUUCGUCCCUUGCCACGUGCGCCGUCUUCCUAGUAACAAUGAAAAAAAGCAAAAUACGUAGAGACCGAGAAAAAGAGAGAACAAGUUUGGUCGAAUUAAAAGUCAGGAAGGUUGGAAAGAUGUUCGUAAACUUAAUAUCACGAGGAAACAAAAUUUUCAUUACUUUCCUAACAAUUAUUGGUUGCACGCACAAUGAAAAUAAAGGAAGAAGAGAAAGAGGAUUUGAUUAUGAUUGAGCGAUUUAACGAAAUACAGCUUAUUCUCGGCAAAAAAAUAAGAUACGUGUGCGCUGUUAGCGAGGAUUUUGGAAUAACGAGCAGUGUUGCUUCUUUAUUCGCAAAUAAAACGCUUAUUCCGCGCAUUAUUCAUGAACGAAGCUCCCGCCGCUUUUUUUCUUAUGCAUACAUAGCUCCUGUGGAAGAAUAAGAAAGAGUCUCGUUUUGCUUAUCAUACGUACAAGCUACACGACUCGUCUCCACCCCGGAGAAACAAGGACGAUUCUUUCUUCCUUCUAACUCGUUAUUGCCGCAACGUAGAAUAGAGUCGAUGAAUUAAAGUAUUAACGGCCGAAUCUUCGAUAAACGUAAAUCCUUUUUUAUGCCUCGAAGAUUCGCGUUAGACGGAAAUGUUUAGAGCACGAGGAUAAUUAAGCGCUUUUUAGCUUUCUUCGAAGAGCCCUUUUAUCGUCCUACUCGUUGGGAAAAGUCAAGCCUAGAAGAACGAACGGUUGGAUUAAAUAUUAAGAUCGUCCUUUGCACGCUACUUUCGCGGGAUUAUUUUCUAGCGAAAAUACUUUACCGACUUUUUUCCUUUUUAAUAUGUAAUUUUACGCGAUAUAAGCGCGUAAACGUAGCUCCUAGCCCGAACUACCGCUGUGGAACAACAUUUCCUUUCUGUCGAACAAAGAAAA
rnacentral:lncRNA from 1 species